UGAGCAUCAUAGUUGUGGGUCAGUAGGGGCAUACUAAGUCUAAUACGUUGUAAAAGUUAAAGAAAAUCUUAAAAGCAACACGUUCUAACAUGUUGUAAAACUGUAUGAAACGUUACAUUUUGAACACAAAUAAAAAAAAUUCUUCAGGUAUAUGCAACAAUGCUA